rnacentral:tRNA from 2 species
GACCCUAUCGUCUAGUGGUUUAGGACACCGCCCUUUCACGGCGGUAACCCGGGUUCGAAUCCCGGUAGGGUCGCCA